GGAGGAAGGCGGGGACGACGUCAAGUCAUCAUGGCCCUUACGACCAGGGCUACACACGUGCUACAAUGGUAGGUACAGAGGGCAGCUACACAGCGAUGUGAUGCGAAUCUUUCAAAGCCUAUCGUAGUCCAGAUUGGAGUCUGCAACUCGACUCCAUGAAGUAGGAAUCGCUAGUAAUCGCGGAUCAGAAUGCCGCGGUGAAUACGUUCCCGGGCCUUGUACACACCGCCCGU
rnacentral:rRNA from 1 species